rnacentral:rRNA from 1 species
AGGCGGGUUAUCAAGUCUUUGGUUAAAAUGCGGUGCUCAACGCCGUAGUGCCAAAGAAACUGAUAGUCUAGAGUAUGGUAGAAGUGAGUGGAACUCCAUGUGUAGCGGUAAAAUGCGUAAAUAUAUGGAAGAACACCAGUGGCGAAGGCGGCUCACUAGGCCAAUACUGACGCUGAGACACGAAAGCGUGGGGAGCAAACAGGAUUAGAUACCCUGGUAGUCCACGCCCUAAACGAUGAGUACUAAGUGUAGCCAGAAGGCUGUGCUGAAGUUAACGCAUUAAGUACUCCGCCUGAGUAGUACGUACGCAAGUAUGAAACUUAAAGGAAUUGACGGGAUCCCGCACAAGCGGUGGAGCAUGUUGUUUAAUUCGACGAUACGCGAAGAACCUUACCAGGUCUUGACAUACUCGGCAAAUCUAUAGAGAUAUAGAGGAGGUUAACCGGGAUACAGGUGGUGCAUGGUUGUCGUCAGCUCGUGUCGUGAGAUGUUAGGUUAAGUCCUGCAACGAGCGCAACCCUUAUUGCUAGUUACCAUCAUUAAGUUGGGGACUCUAGCGAGACUGCCGGUGAUAAACCGGAGGAAGGCGGGGAUGACGUCAAAUCAUCAUGCCCUUUAUGACCUGGGCUACAAACGUGCUACAAUGGCUGACACAAAGAGAAGCGAGCUCGCGAGAGUAAGCAAACCUCAGAAAAGCAGUCUCAGUUCGGAUUGAAGUCUGCAACUCGACUUCAUGAAGUUGGAAUCGCUAGUAAUCGCGAAGCAGAGUGUCGCGGUGAAUACGUUCCCGGGAUUUGUACACACCGCCCGUCAAACCAUGAGAGUUUGUAAUACCCGAAGCCGGUGGCCGAACCGCAAGGAAGGAGCCGUCUAAGGUAGGACAGAUGAUUGGGGUUAAGUCGUAACAAGGUAUCCCUACGAGAACGUGGGGAUG